rnacentral:rRNA from 1 species
UACGUAGGGUGCGAGCGUUGUCCGGAAUUACUGGGCGUAAAGAGCUCGUAGGUGGUUUGUCGCGUUGUUCGUGAAAUCUCACGGCUUAACUGUGAGCGUGCGGGCGAUACGGGCAGACUAGAGUACUGCAGGGGAGACUGGAAUUCCUGGUGUAGCGGUGGAAUGCGCAGAUAUCAGGAGGAACACCGAUGGCGAAGGCAGGUCUCUGGGCCGCAACUGACGCUGAGGAGCGAAAGCAUGGGGGAGCGAACAGG